CGACCGGCGCACGGGUGAGUAACACGUAUGCAACCUGCCCUCUUCAGGGGGACAGCCUUCCGAAAGGGAGGCUAAUCCCGCGUAUAUCGGUUUCGGGCAUCCGAGAUCGAGGAAAGAUUCAUCGGAAGAGGAUGGGCAUGCGGCGCAUUAGCUAGACGGCGGGGUAACGGCCCACCGUGGCGACGAUGCGUAGGGGUUCUGAGAGGAAGGUCCCCCACACUGGUACAGAGACACGGACCAGACUCCUACGGGAGGCAGCAG
rnacentral:rRNA from 1 species